rnacentral:rRNA from 1 species
CGGUGUUUAACUGGCGUGAUGUGGGACGUCCUACCGGUGGGCUUAGCCUCGCGAGGGGCGGCCCAACUAAUAUCCCGUCGCGGUGCUCUUUACUGAGUGUCGAGUCGGGCCGGUACGUUUACUUUGAACAAAUUAGAGUGCUUAAAGCAGGCUAUCCUCGCCUGAAUACUGCGUGCAUGGAAUAAUGGAAUAGGACCUCGGUUCUAUUUUGUUGGUUUUCGGAACCCCGAGGUAAUGAUUAAUAGGGACAGAUGGGGGCAUUCGUAUUGCGACGUUAGAGGUGAAAUUCUUGGAUCGUCGCAAGACGGACAGAAGCGAAAGCAUUUGCCAAAAAUGUUUUCAUUAAUCAAGAACGAAAGUUAGAGGUUCGAAGGCGAUCAGAUACCGCCCUAGUUCUAACCAUAAACGAUGCCAGCUAGCGAUCCGCCGAAGUUCCUCCGACGACUCGGCGGGCAGCUUCCGGGAAACCAAAGCUUUUGGGUUCCGGGGGAAGUAUGGUUGCAAAGCUGAAACUUAAAGGAAUUGACGGAAGGGCACCACCAGGAGUGGAGCCUGCGGCUUAAUUUGACUCAACACGGGAAACCUCACCAGGCCCAGACACCGGAAGGAUUGACAGAUUGAUAGCUCUUUCUUGAUUCGGUGGGUGGUGGUGCAUGGCCGUUUUUAGUUGGUGGAGCGAUUUGUCUGGUUAAUUCUGAUAACGAACGAGACUCUAGCCUGCUAAAUAGGCGUACCUUAUGGUAUCGCGAAGGCCCCCGGCCUUCGGCCGGUGGGUUUUUACUACCAACGUACAAACAAAUCUUCUAGAGGGACAGGCGG